UACGUAGGGGCCAAGCGUUGUCCGGAUUUAUUGGGCGUAAAGAGCUCGUAGGCGGUUCGGCAAGUCAGCUGUGAAAUCUCCACGCUCAACGUGGAGGGGUCAGCUGAUACUGCUGUGACUCGAGUCCGGUAGGGGAGUGUGGAAUUCCCGGUGUAGCGGUGAAAUGCGCAGAUAUCAGGAGGAACACCGGUGGCGAAGGCGGGUCUCUGGGCCGAUACUGACGCUGAGGAGCGAAAGCGUGGGAGCGAACAGG
rnacentral:rRNA from 1 species